rnacentral:rRNA from 1 species
GACGAACGCUGGCGGCGGGCUUAACACAUGCAAGUCGAACGGAAAGGCCCUUCUUUUGUGGGUUGCUCGAGUUGCGAACGGGUGAGUAACACGUGAGUAACCUGCCCUUGACUUUGGGAUAACUUCAGGAAACUGGUGCUAAUACCGGAUAGGAGCUCCUUCUGCAUGGUGGGAGUUGGAAAGUUUCGGCGGUUGGGGAUGGACUCGCGGCUUAUCAGCUUGUUGGGGGGGUAGUGGCUUACCAAGGGUUUGACGGGUAGCCGGCCUGAGAGGGUGACCGGGGACAUUGGGACUGAGAUACGGCCCAGACUCCUCCGGGAGGCAGGAGGGCGGAAUAUUGCAUAAUGGGCGGAAGCCUGAUGAAGUAACGCGGCGUGCGGGAUGAAGGACUUCGAGUUGUAAACGGCUUUCGCCUGUGACGAAGCGUGAGUGAAGGUAAUGGGUAAAGAAGCACCGGCUAACUACGUG